rnacentral:rRNA from 1 species
CCUACGGGAGGCAGCAGUAAGGGAAUAUUGGUCAAUGGACGCAAGUCUGAACCAGCCAUGCCGCGUGAAGGAUUAAGGCCCUCUGGGUUGUAAACUUCUUUUAAUAGGGGACGUAAAAAAGGGCAUUCUUGCUCACUUGACGGUACCCUAGGAAUAACGCACCGGCUAACUCCGUGCCAGCAGCCGCGGUAAGUACGGAGGGUGCAAGCGUUAUCCGGAUUUACUGGGUUUAAAGGGUGCGUAGGUGGGUUGGUAAGUCAGUGGUGAAAUCUUCGAGCUUAACUCGGAAACUGCCAUUGAUACUAUCAAUCUUGAAUCAUCUAGAGGUAAGCGGAAUAUGUCAUGUAGCGGUGAAAUGCUUAGAUAUGACAUAGAACACCAAUUGCGAAGGCAGCUUACUAUGGAUGUAUUGACACUGAGGCACGAAAAGCGUGGGGAUCAAACAGGAUUAGAUACCCUGGUAGUCCACGCCCUAAACGAUGGAUACUCGACAUUUGUGAUAUANAAUAAUAGUNUGAGCGAAGAGAGUAAGUAAGUACCACCUACGGAAGGUAACGUACCGACGAAGUUAGUAAACGUUACAAAUAAGAAGUUAGAGGCGNGAGAGAGCGACGGACGACACGAGGGAGGAGG